UAAAAAAAAAAAAAAAAAAAAAAAAGGAAAAUCUGUUGCAGAAUGAUUUGUAGCAAUCUUCGCCAUAGCUGAGAGAGACCGAGACGCAGAAAUGGAAGGCGCGAAUUUUAGGGGAACCCACAGAUGGAAGAAGAGAAGUUCGGUUCAGUCUCCAAGAUCUGCACUUCUCACUCUUCUCAUCUUCUCCUCUUUCAUCAUCCUCUUCUUCUACUUCAGACGCUUCGUUUCCCCCACUCAACUUCCACUUUCCCGGAAUUCUCCCUCGUUCCUUCUCCAACGAUGCGGCUCCUCCUCCAGGGGGAAGUUCAUCUGGUACGCGCCCCACAGUGGCUUCAGCAACCAGCUGUCCGAGUUCAAGAACGCGCUUCUAAUGGCUUCCAUUUUGAAUCGAACCCUCAUUGUGCCUCCCAUUCUAGAUCACCACGCCGUUGCUCUCGGUAGCUGUCCCAAAUUUAGGGUUUUAAGCCCCCCUGAUUUGAGAUUCGCGGUUUGGAAUCAUAGUAUUGAGCUCUUGCGUGAUUGCAGAUACGUUUCUAUGGCAGAUAUUAUUGACCUUUCAGCAAUAGUGUCUGCUUCAGCUGUCAGUGUUGUGGAUUUUAGAGUGUUUGUGUCUGAAUGGUGUGGUGUGAAUCUGGAUCAUUUUUGCACUGGAAACCAAAAUGCCCAAUCUUCUAUGUUACAAAGGCUAAACGAAUGUGGGUCUUUGCUGUCUGGGAAAUCUGGUAAUUUAAAUAGUUGUUUAUAUGCUUUAGAGGAGGAUUGCAGGACAACAGUUUGGACAUACCAAAAAGAUGGUGAAGAUGGUGCUUUAGACUCAUUUCAACCUGAUGAGGAACUCAAGAAGAAGAAGAGAAUUGCCUUUGUUAGGAGAAGAAGAGACGUAUAUAAGACCCUUGGUCUGGGCUCUGCUGUUGAUUCUGCCAAAGUUCUUGCAUUUGGAAGCCUUUUCACCUCCCCAUAUAAGGGAUCAGAGUCACACAUUGAUAUCCACGAAGCUCCUAAUGAUAAAAGGAUAGCUUCCUUCAUCAAGAGGAUUGAGUUCCUACCCUUUGUACCAGAAAUUCUUGAUGCUGGAAAGAAUUUCGUUCUCAAAACAAUUAAGGCUCCUUUUCUUUGUGCACAGCUUAGACUAUUGGAUGGGCAGUUCAAGAACCACUGGAAAGCUACUUUUCAAGAAUUGAAGCAUAAGUUAGAAUCUUUGAAACAAACUGGACCUAACCCUAUUCAUGUGUUUCUAAUGACUGACCUUCCCAUGUCUAAUUGGUCUGGGAGCUACUUGGGUGAUAUUACAAAAGAUUCAGGUAUCAAACUGUUUGUCCUUAAAGAAGAUGAUGAGCUGGUUAGAGAAACUGCUAGGAAUGUUGUGAAGGCAGGAAAUGGGAUGAAGGUUGGGUCUGAUUCAAAGUAUUCCAUCAAAAUUCGGGAAAAUCAGCAUGCUCAAACAUUACCUGAUGUGCUGUUAUACAUAGAGGAAACUGUAUGUAGCUGUGCUUCUCUUGGUUUUGUGGGAACUAGUGGUUCAACUAUUGCAGCGAGUAUAGAGUUGAUGAGGAAGUUUGAUAUAUGUAAUAGCUGAAAUCUUUUUCAGCUACUACUAUUCAGGAAAUGAAGGAUCUUCUGGUAGGGUAAGGAAUAUAUACAAACUUGUUAGAUAGAUCUUGCCUUAUUUGGCUGAAAGUAGUCUAAAGUUGUUUGAAGAGCGCCGUGGAAUUAAGCAGGAGAAUCAAGAAUGUGAUUUGAUAUGGCCAAAGUCCCCAUGCUACAUUUGGCAUCUCAUUACGGAUGUUGAGGGCUGUUGUUCUUCAUAGUGCUAUACCUCUGGAAUACGAGUUCUAUAUCCUGUCAAGAUGAUGCUUUGGUUUGACAUUUUCAAUAAUAUAGACAAACUACAAGAAGUCGACAGCCCAGUUUUAAUUAUCCAUGUAAGAAACAUCUCUUUCCUCAAUUUUAUAUAUAUUUUGUUACAUUUGUGAUGAUUUUUUUCCUCGCUCCCUAGUUAUUUACAUAUAGCCUGCCAAGAACACAAUUAAAAACUACAAAAAUCAUGAAAGGAAAAGCAUCACAACUUAUGGUUUGAGUCAUUUGACUAAUAGAGAGUAAAUGAAAUGGGAGAUUUAGUAAACAGAGUUGGUGAUAAAGGUAGGAUUCUGGGAUGGCAGUUGCUGCGAUGUUACCUAACAACACCUGACGUUUUUGACCUAUUGACUAGUGUAAGGACAAUGUAGUAUCCAGUCAUAUGAUCUUAGUUCUUGAGCCGAUUCUUUACUGUCAAGAAGAAGACAUGUGCGGGUUACUAAUUUGGAUCAAGGUUGCUGAAGAAGAAAGCGAAGGUUGUGAAAGCAUCUUGAUUCAUUAGUCAUCUCAGUUGUAUGCCCCUCCAACUGCUAAAUCGAUUCGAAGACAUUAUAAGCAAUGUUUGAGCUUUGUCUGAAUGAUUUAGUGCAUUGGUUCUCAUUAUCCAUCUUGAUCAAGUGUACCAAUUAAAUGUAGGUAAUAUUAUGUUGUAUGAUGUGUCCCAAUCCCCACAAAUCUUUCUAGUUGUCUUUAACUUUGGAACUUUGUAUACCAUAUAUUUCAAUAUGAAACAUCA